GGGUCAGUAGGUUGGUCGUGCCACCGGUACGUACUGGUCUCACCGAUUCCUCCUUCCUGAAGAACCGUAAUGCCAUUAAUUUGGUGUUGCGGGGAAACAGGACUGUUACUUUGAAAAAAUUAGAGUGUUUAAAGCAAGCUAACGCUUGAAUACAUUAGCAUGGAAUAAUGAAAUAGGGCGAUCGAUCCUAUUUUGUUGGUUUCUAGGAUUGACGUA
rnacentral:rRNA from 1 species